rnacentral:rRNA from 1 species
AGUGAACGCUGGCGGUAGGCCUAACACAUGCAAGUCGAACGGCAGCACAGGAGAGCUUGCUCUCUGGGUGGCGAGUGGCGGACGGGUGAGGAAUACAUCGGAAUCUACUCUGUCGUGGGGGAUAACGUAGGGAAACUUACGCUAAUACCGCAUACGACCUACGGGUGAAAGAAGGGGAUCUUCGGACCUUGCGCGAUUGAAUGAGCCGAUGUCGGAUUAGCUAGUUGGCGGGGUAAAGGCCCACCAAGGCGACGAUCCGUAGCUGGUCUGAGAGGAUGAUCAGCCACACUGGAACUGAGACACGGUACAGACUCCUACGGGAGGCAGCAGUGGGGAAUAUUGGACAAUGGGCGCAAGCCUGAUCCAGCCAUACCGCGUGGGUGAAGAAGGCCUUCGGGUUGUAAAGCCCUUUUGUUGGGAAAGAAAUCCAGCUGGCUAAUACCCGGUUGGGAUGACGGUACCCAAAGAAUAAGCACCGGCUAACUUCGUGCCAGCAGCCGCCGUAA